rnacentral:rRNA from 1 species
GACAGAGGGGGCAAGCGUUGCUCGGAAUUACUGGGCGUAAAGGGCGCGUAGGCGGGAUGGCAAGUCGGUCGUGAAAUCCCUCGGCUCAACCGAGGAACGUCGAUCGAUACUGCUGUUCUUGAGGAUUGCAGAGGAGACUGGAAUUCCCGGUGUAGCGGUGAAAUGUGUAGAGAUCGGGAGGAACACCGGUGGCGAAGGCAGGUCUCUGGGCAAUUCCUGACGCUGAGGCACGAAAGCGUGGGGAGCAAACAGG